rnacentral:RNase_P_RNA from 1 species
AGAGUUGGCUGGACAGUCGCCUGGCUAUUCAUAGUCAGGAGGAAAGUCCGGGCUCCACAGGACAGAGUGCCAGGUAAUCCCUGGGAGGCGUGAGCCUACGGAAAGUGCAGCAGAAAAUAUACCGCCUUUCAAAGGGGGCAGACUUGAUUGAUUAGCUGCAACCUCUAAAUCAAUCAAGUCUGCCCCCUUUGGUGGGUAAGGGUGAAAUGGUGCGGUAAGAGCGCACCGCGCGGGUGGCAACAUUCCGUGGCAAGGUAAACCCCACUCGGAGCAAGACCAAAUAGGAAUCCAUUGGCGUGGUCCGCGCCGGAUUCGGGUAGGUUGCUUGAGGUAUGUGGUGACGCAUACCCUAGAUGAAUGACUGUCCACGACAGAACCCGGCUUAUAGGCUGACUCUUUUA